UCCCGCCUCCUUUGCCUUUUUAUAGUUAUAUUUACAUUUUCAACAUCAUAACUGGAUUAGUUCAAACCUAAGGACUGGGGGAUUUUCUUACUUUUACUUUUAUUUUUUUUACCUUACUUUUCUUCAUCUCCAAGUUGAACCAGGGCAAAAUGCCUCCAGCCGACCCAAGGGACAUUAGCAGUAUUAUAAAACGACUUCAGUCUAUAGAAAUGAAGAUUCAACUGCUGGAGGUGAACUUUGAGAUCAACGCUACCUGUGGAAAUCAGACAACUCUUCCUCAAAUCAACAGAGAGGCCGUACGCCUCGCAUCAAGCAGCUCACCCUGGAACGCUCUGGGUGCCAAGCCGAAGCAAAAGUCUCACACCGCAGAUCCGAUGAGACGACUGACAGGGAGAAAUCCCUCACCUGGACGAAUCAGCGUGGCCGGCUCUGAGCCGAAACCCACCUUCAACCUCAACACCUGCUCCACCAAA